rnacentral:rRNA from 1 species
GACGAACGCUGGCGGCGUGCCUAAUACAUGCAAGUCGCGCGCAGCGGCGGAUGGGUGAGUAACGCGUGGGUAACCUGCCCUUAAGUCUGGGAUACCAUUUGGAAACAGAUGCUAAUACCGGAUACUAAAGGAUGGACCUGGGAUGCAUGAGGUAGUUGGGAAGGUAACGGUUUACUAAGGCGAUGAUGCAGAGACGGGGUGAGAGACUGAUCGGCCACAUUGGGACUGAGACACGGCCCAAACGCCUACGGGAGGCAGCAGUAGGGAAUCUUCCACAAUGGACGAAAGUCUGAUGGAGCAAUGCCGCGUGAGUGAAGAAGGUUUUCGGAUCGUAAAGCUCUGUUGUUGGUGAAGCGGUAAUCAACCAGAAAGUCACGGCUAACUCCGUGCCAGCAGCCGCGGUAAUUC